rnacentral:rRNA from 1 species
AACGUAGGAGGCAAGCGUUAUCCGGAUUUACUGGGCGUAAAGCGCGUGUAGGCGGUUCGAUAAGUCGUGCGUGAAAGCUCCCGGCUCAACCGGGAGAGGUCGUGCGAAACUGCCGAACUGGAGGGAGAUAGAGGCAAGCAGAAUUCCGGGUGUAGUGGUGAAAUGCGUAGAUAUCCGGAGGAAUACCUGUGGCGAAAGCGGCUUGCUAGGUCUACCCUGACGCUCAGACGCGAAAGCAUGGGGAGCGAACGGG